UAUUUUAUUCUAGUCGUUGGGUUUAACUUCAUCCUCAUCCUGUUCCUCUGCCAUUUUCUCAACUGCUCUUGAGACGUUCGGUCGUUACUCUUGACAACGACAAGAAGUAACGAUCAUUCAUCAUGGUAAACGGUAGAAUCCCAUCAGUCUUCUCUAAGACUUACGUCACACCUCGUCGUCCUUAUGAAAAAGCACGUCUUGAUCAAGAGUUGAAGAUCAUCGGAGAAUACGGUCUCCGUAACAAGCGUGAAGUAUGGAGAGUAAAAUACACUCUUGCUAAAAUCCGUAAAGCUGCUCGUGAGUUGCUUACUCUUGAAGAAAAAGACCCAAAACGUCUUUUCGAAGGAAACGCACUUUUGCGUCGUCUCGUACGAAUUGGAGUCUUGGACGAGAGUCACAUGAAACUCGAUUACGUGUUGGGUCUUAAAAUCGAAGAUUUCUUGGAAAGACGUCUUCAGACUCAAGUAUUCAAACUUGGGUUAGCAAAAUCAAUCCAUCAUGCCCGUGUUCUCAUUCGCCAGAGACACAUUCGAUGCUGAUCGUUAUUGAUUGGACGUCAAUUGUCCAUAUUUUAAAUUCGCAAAGGCCACUGAAGUGUCUAGUUAUUUAAACUAGCGCUUUACGCCGCCAUUAAUUAUUCGUUUAUCAUUCAGCCGAGUGAUUAAAAUCAAACGGACCACUUAAUGUGUCUAUAAGACCAUUAACGUCUGAUUAAUUCCUAUUGGAAUUAAAACACGAUUCGAUAAAAAAAUCGCGUUCGUAAGCAAGUCGUGAACAUCCCAUCGUUCAUUGUUCGCUUGGACUCACAAAAACACAUCGAUUUCUCAUUGAAAUCACCAUUCGGUGGUGGCCGCCCUGGUCGUGUAAAGAGGAAGAACAUGCGCAAGGGAACUGGUGCCGCUGCCGCUGAGGAAGAA